rnacentral:rRNA from 1 species
GAUGAACGCUGGCGGCGUGCCUAAUACAUGCAAGUCGAGCGAAUGGAUUAAGAGCUUGCUCUUAUGAAGUUAGCGGCGGACGGGUGAGUAACACGUGGGUAACCUGCCCAUAAGACUGGGAUAACUCCGGGAAACCGGGGCUAAUACCGGAUAACAUUUUGAACUGCAUGGUUCGAAAUUGAAAGGCGGCUUCGGCUGUCACUUAUGGAUGGACCCGCGUCGCAUUAGCUAGUUGGUGAGGUAACGGCUCACCAAGGCAACGAUGCGUAGCCGACCUGAG